UACAGGGGGGGCAAGCGUUGUUCGGAAUUACUGGGCGUAAAGGGUUCGUAGGUGGCCACUUAAGUCAGACGUGAAAUCCCUCAGCUUAACUGGGGAACUGCGUCUGAUACUGAGUGGCUUGAGUGCAGGAGAGGAAUGCGGAAUUCCAGGUGUAGCGGUGAAAUGCGUAGAUAUCUGGAGGAACACCGGUGGCGAAGGCGGCAUCCUGGACCGACAUUGACGCUGAGGAGCGAAAGCUAGGGGAGCAAACGGG
rnacentral:rRNA from 1 species